rnacentral:rRNA from 1 species
CCUACGGGGGGCUGCAGUGGGGAAUAUUGGACAAUGGGCGAAAGCCUGAUCCAGCCAUGCCGCGUGUGUGAAGAAGGCCUUCGGGUUGUAAAGCACUUUCAGUGGGGAAGAAAGCCUUGGGGCUAAUACCCUCGAGGAAGGACAUCACCCACAGAAGAAGCACCGGCUAACUCCGUGCCAGCAGCCGCGGUAAUACGGAGGGUGCGAGCGUUAAUCGGAAUUACUGGGCGUAAAGCGCGCGUAGGCGGUCUGAUAAGCCGGUUGUGAAAGCCCCGGGCUCAACCUGGGAACGGCAUCCGGAACUGUCAGGCUAGAGUGCAGGAGAGGAAGGUAGAAUUCCCGGUGUAGCGGUGAAAUGCGUAGAGAUCGGGAGGAAUACCAGUGGCGAAGGCGGCCUUCUGGACCGACACUGACGCUGAGGUGCGAAAGCGUGGGUAGCAAACAGGAUUAGAUACCCGAGUAGU